UCAGUGGGAGGAGCUGAGUGUGUGUAGAGAGUAGAGAUGAUCAGCACACUGCCAUGCUGACAUGCUGAGGAGCUCAAACUCAGUGUGUGUUCUUCUCCCAGUGCUGACCACCAUGAUCAUUUUCACUGUACUGCUGCUCUCAGCUCUCAAAGGUAACAAAGCUGAAGAUGUCAUCACUCCAAGCAGAGAUGUUGUUUUUGCUGUUGAAGGUCAAAAAGUAACACUUUCCUGUAACUACAGUGGAACCAUUUAUAGUCUUCACUGGUAUCGACAGUAUUCAGGUUCAUCUCCACAGUUCCUCAUACUGGACUAUAAUGGAAUAAUUACUAAAGCUCAACCUGCAGUUCCUGGAAUAUCAAUUAAACACAUAAAACAACAGAAGAAAGUGAAUCUGAUAAUCUCCUCUGCUGCAGUAUCAGAUUCUGCACUCUACUACUGUGCCCUGGAGCCCACAGUGACAGGAAACCCAGCUACACUGUACAAAAACCCCCUAUUAUACCGUCUACUAUACACAACUUAAAGCGUUAGAUACUG